UAGUCUCGCACAGAUGCAUAUCAAUAAGCGGAGGAAAAGAAACUAACAAGGAUUCCCUUAGUAACGGCGAGUGAAGCGGGAAAGAGCUCAAAUUUGAAAUCUUCAAGGUUUUACCUUGACGAAUUGUAGUUUAAAGAAGUGUUUUCUGUUGAAGUUUUGGUAAAAGUUCUUUGGAAUAGGACAUCAUAGAGGGUGAGAAUCCCGUAUUUGACCAUUAUUUUCAGCUGUGUGAUACACUUUCAAAGAGUCGGAUUGUUUGGGAAUGCAGUCCAAAAUGGGUGGUAAAUUUCAUCUAAAGCUAAAUAUUGGCGAGAGACCGAUAGCGAACAAGUACCGUGAGGGAAAGAUGAAAAGAACUUUGAAAAGAGAGUUAAACAGUACGUGAAAUUGUCAAAAGGGAAGCGUUUGACACCAGUGUUGUUUUCUCGAAAAUCAAUUAAAAAGAGUUUAGAUUUUGUUGUGUAUUGACCUUAACAGCUUGCAUUUCAAUUUUCUUGCUUUUUUUAAUGCACCUUUCGUUUAACAAGUCAACAUCAGUUUCUUUUGUUGUAAAAAGGUCAUUGGAAGGUGGCUUUCUUUUCGGAGAAAGUGUUUAUAGCCUUUGACUCCUGCAAUCGGAGAGACUGAGGUCUGCAGCGUAGAUCCUUCGGGGUUAGAUACAUUUGUGCUAAGUUAUAGCUUUUUAUAGACAACUUGUUGACUAUGAUUAGUCUUGUAGCUUACUCGCUUAUGCUAUUUUACCUACGCUUAGGAUGUUGAGCGCAUGUCUCUCUCU
rnacentral:rRNA from 1 species